rnacentral:rRNA from 1 species
CAGCCGCCGCGGUAAUACCGGCGGCCCGAGUGGCGGCCACUAUUAUUGGGCUUAAAGCGUCCGUAGCCGGGUUGGUUAGUCUCCCGGGAAAUCUGGCCGCUUAACGGUCAGAAUUCCGGGAGAUACUGCCAGCCUAGGGACCGGGAGAGGCCGAGGGUAUUCCCGGAGUAGGGGUGAAAUCCUAUAAUCCCGGGAGGACCACCUGUGGCGAAGGCGCUCGGCUGGAACGCGUCCGACGGUGAGGGACGAAGGCCAGGGGAGCAAACCGGAUUAGAUACCCGGGUAGUCCUGGCGGUAAACGAUGCGGACUUUGUGUCGGACAAGCUAUGAGCUUGUCCGGUGCCGGAGGGAAACCGUUAAGUCCGCCGCCUGGGGAGUACGGCCGCAAGGCUGAAACUUAAAGGAAUUGGCGGG